CUUGUCACUCUUGUCAGUGGUAGUUUCUGUUGGUGGGUGUAGAUAUCGACAGUUAUGUUAUUUCAAAUUUAAUAAUCACAAAAAAGUAUAAUUAUAGUUACUUUAUUACAUAUUCCUUUAUUGAAUAAUUAUUCUGAUACUGUGCAGGGACUACAUGGGUGCUGUUCGCGAUUUAUUGAUUUUCAAAAGGAAUUUCUACACAUAUCCGCAUGAUUUCCGGUCAGUGUAGCCUUUUAUGGGAUCGACAGGAGACUAAAUCCUUGAAUAUCAAUGAUAAACGAGGUUCUGGUUUCAACAGAAUGCAUAAGAUGUUAUACAAAUACAUGAAGUGGAGGAAAUGGCAAAACUAAUGAAAAUUUUUCAAGGGAGACGUCAACUCAAACUUGUUCUUUGAAAAUUUGUGACUGGCAUUUUUCUAGCUUAUAUCUGCUGUCAUGAUUGUGAUUAAAAGUUUUUUAUUUUUGUCUUUCAUUGGGCCUGCCCUGGGAAACAGCUGCCCUACGACUGCAUGUGUGUUUUUUCCAGAGUUUCAGAAGUUCCGAAUGUAUCAGAUUCCGAUGUAUCAGAUCAAUAAGUGCACAAUCAAUGAUACAUUGUAUGAAGGAUUUUUUGUAUAUCAUAAUGGUGAUGAAAAACAGUUUUAUAUUGUUUGAAUAUCAUUUUUUUGGAGUAAUCAAUACUUCUCACUGUUUUUUGGGUAUGUAAUUUUCUAGAUUGUGGAACUUUCUUGAGUGUGUCUUCCAAAUGUAUAUAUGAGGCCUCUUGGCUAUGUACUUUUUAUACCAACUAAAAACAACAUGUGUCUACUAAUAUUUGGUAAAUGUAGAUACAAGUUUUCAUCAUAUACAGAGGCCUUUUUUGUACUUGUCAUAUACCUUGAAGAAUUGUUUCAUUUCAAUCGAUUCUCAUUGCAUUGCACUUUUGUGGUUUCGAAGUUUCUAUUCCCGUGAAACAUUUUCUCAAUUACAACCUUUCCCUAAAUCAUUUAUGUGAUUCACUAUCAUGGUGUCUAAUGUGAUUUCACUACCUACUUUUCUAUUCCACCUGAACGUAAAACAAAUUUGUUUUUGUCGAGGUUUCAUUUUCAAUCCGGGUGCAAUCUAACUUGUUCCAACAUUUGUUAAUUUUUUUUGUGUGAUCAAAAAGUACUUUUAAUAUCAAAUUUUUGAUUAUCUUGCACUUGUGCAUUGUUUUAGACAUUAUUCUAGUAGGGGCUGAAAUAAACUGAAGUUGAGUAGUCUGGGGUUUGGGGAUCUCGAGUUUGAAAAAUUUUUUGUAAGUAACCGUUAAUAAAGAUGUUAUUUGACGAGAUGUAAACAUAUGGUGACUGUUACAUGGUUUGCGGAGGUUGCAGUAAAAAAUACUGAAUUGAUGUAGCAGAAGAAGGUAGAUCUACAACUGUGAGUUCACUUGUGAGGAGGGACCGAAAUAUAUUUGUUGAUGUUAGUGAUACAAAAUUUAUUUUAUAGAAUUUUAAUUUGAAGAUGGAUUUUAUGUCUAUUUGCAAAAUGAUUAUUUAUUUCGUUAAUUUGGAAAAAAAAACUUGUUCAUGUUAUAAUAUGACUAGUACAAUUUCUUUCAGGAUGUACCAGGAGAUUUGAAGUCCUUAUAUACAUGCUUUUAUUUUAGAGUAUUUUUGUACUCGAUUUUCAGAAUUACGCCAGUGUGAAAUAAAUUUGUUUCAAUUCGGAUGAUGCAGUGGAGAUUCCUUUUGUCUGUAUCUCUUUUUCAUUCGAGGUGCAACCAUAACUUGUUCCAUUUCUUGUAAUCCUGUGAAUUUUGUUAAUCAUCUGGUUAUCUGGCAAUCAACUUGUCGGCUACGUUACUCUGUGCUGAACGUUCUUUGACAGUGUUAACAGAAGUCCAUU